rnacentral:rRNA from 23 species
AGCCCUUUGAAACAGAUAAAGGGUGAAGCCUGCCCAGUGGGAAACUUUUCCUCAACGGCCGCGGUAUCUUGACCGUGCAAAGGUAGCAUAAUCAUUUGUCUCUUAAAUGGGGACCUGUAUGAAUGGCUUUUCAUUCUCUAGCUGUCUCCCUUCUUCCCCCUUUAAACUUCUAUUUACGUGAAGAAGCGUAAUUUUGACAGAAAGACGAGAAGACCCUGUCGAGCUUCAGCUAAACCUAAGUCCCACUACAUUUCCUCUCAGAGAAAAAGUAAAGUCCUUAGAACAAGCUUUGGUUGGGGCAACCAUGGAGUAAAAACAGCCUCCAGUUUUUCAGGUAGAAAACUAUUCUCCUAAAUAUACACUUUUAGAACCAAAAAUUUUGGAAAACGGAAAAAGUUACCGCAGGGAUAACAGCGUUAUCUUUUCUGAGAGCCCUUAUUGACGAAAAGGAUUGCGACCUCGAUGUUGGAUUGGGGUAACCAGAGGGUGCAGCAGCUCUCCAGGUUGGACUGUUCGUCCAUUAAUUCCCC